AGCAGCAGACACACAGGGGCUGGGGCUUUGUUUUGUGAAUCUGCUCCUUUUUCUGCUUUGCAGCACCACAGAGCACCCACGUGGCUGCAAUCCAGAGACUGGUGUGUGACUGCUGGGUUCAAACCAAUUCAGGUCAGGUUCUGAAGUUUAACUGGAGCAGCAAAAGGAAAAGCAGAAAAGUGGGUAAUGCACAAAGGACUGCAGAAGUGAGUGCGCUGCUUGACAGCAGGAGUGGAGGAGCUUAUGGCCAGGGUGGAAGAAAGAAAAACCUGGAAUAAGGAAAAACUUGGAAAAGGACAAAGGAAAUGCCUGGGCACCUCAUGGCACAACAGGCAGGACAAUGCCUUCAGGCCAUAGGUGUUUGAUACCUUGAAGACAAAACUCAGGCUUUCAUCCCUUUCCAGCCCCACAAGAAGCACCUUUUUAUCAGCUCUGAUUUUCCCUGACAAGACAGUGGCCAAGCUGAAGGACAAGGGGGAAACAGAAAACCUUAAUGGCAAGUCCUGCACUAGG